AGCCCCCCCACUCCACUGCGGAGAAGAAGCAGCGGCCAGGAGAGCAGGCGGCAUCCUUAUUUGGAGCAGGGAGCUGGACCGCAGAUGCUGAUACUGUCGAGGCACAGAACAGAUACUGGCAGAUCUGAAAUUUGUUUGGGACUAACAUGCUUUGACUCUAGUUGCAGUGGAAAGGAAAGAAAAGAAAAAGAUGCUAAUGGAAAGUUAUUUUACUUAUCUUUGUAUUCUAAUCACCAUGACACAGUCAUCCAACUUUUAACCUGAACUCUCUUUCCAUCUCCAGGUAGAAAGAAUAUUAUCUUUUCAACAAAAAAAAUCUAAUACUUAUCUGUAUUCUGUAUAAUAUAACUUAUUCUCAUGCUACUCAUCUCUAUGCAUCACAAUUUUCCUUAAAAAAUGCAACUGUUCCCUAAAGCAAAGAUUUAAUGGUCAUAAGUAAGACUCCAUAAUAUUUGCAAAAUGUACUGCAAAACAUUAACUGGUAGACUAUGACUGAUAAUACAUUAUUGAAACUUAAUUACCUUUGAAAUAUUUUGCAUUAUUUUGAUCUAUUGACUUUUUCAUGCACUAACAAGAAUUGUAUAUCACCAAGGGUUAUGCUGAGGUGUUUUAUGUAAUUUCAGUAAGCAACAAUAAAUAAAUGAAUAAAU